rnacentral:rRNA from 1 species
GAUGAACGCUGGCGGCGUGCUUAACACAUGCAAGUCGAGCGAUGAAGUUUCCUUCGGGAAACGGAUUAGCGGCGGACGGGUGAGUAACACGUGGGUAACCUGCCUCAUAGAGUGGAAUAGCCUUCCGAAAGGAAGAUUAAUACCGCAUAACGUUGAAAGAUGGCAUCAUCAUUCAACCAAAGGAGCAAUCCGCUAUGAGAUGGACCCGCGGCGCAUUAGCUAGUUGGGGGGGUAACGGCCUACCAAGGCGACGAUGCGUAGCCGACCUGAGAGGGUGAUCGGCCACAUUGGGACUGAGACACGGCCCAGACUCCUACGGGAGGCAGCAGUGGGGAAUAUUGCACAAUGGGGGAAACCCUGAUGCAGCAACGCCGCGUGAGUGAUGAAGGUUUUCGGAUCGUAAAGCUCUGUCUUUGGGGAAGAUAAUGACGGUACUCAAGGAGGAAGCCACGGCUAACUACGUGCCAGCCGCCGCAGUAA